GAUGAAGAACGCAGCGAAAUGCGAUAAGUAAUGUGAAUUGCAGAAUUCAGUGAAUCAUCGAAUCUUUGAACGCACAUUGCGCCCGCCAGUAUUCUGGCGGGCAUGCCUGUUCGAGCGUCAUUUCAACCAUCAAGCCCCCGGCUUGUGUUGGGGACCUGCGGCUGCCGCAGGCCCUGAAAAGCAGUGGCGGGCUCGCUGUCACACCGAGCGUAGUAGCAUACAUCUCGCUCUGGGCGUGCUGCGGGUUACGGCCGUUAAACCACCUUCAUAACCCAAGGUUGACCUCGGAUCAGGUAGGAAGACCCGCUGAACUUAAGCAUAUCAAUAAGCGGAGGA
rnacentral:misc_RNA from 1 species